GACUUGCUCCUGUUGGUUACGGCGGANGGGUGAGUACACGUGGGCACCUGCCUGUAGACUGGGAUAACACCGGGAAACCGGUGCUAAUACCGGAUAAUCCUUUUCCUCUCAUGAGGAAAAGCUGAAAGUCGGUUUCGGCUGACACUUACAGAUGGGCCCGCGGCGCAUUAGCUAGUUGGUGAGGUAACGGCUCACCAAGGCGACGAUGCGUAGCCGACCUGAGAGGGUGAUCGGCCACACUGGGACUGAGACACGGCCCAGACUCCUACGGGAGGCAGCAGUAGGGAAUCUUCCACAAUGGACGAAAGUCUGAUGGAGCAACGCCGCGUGAGCGAUGAAGGCCUUCGGGUCGUAAAGCUCUGUUGUUAGGGAAGAACAAGUACCGGAGUAACUGCCGGUACCUUGACGGUACCUAACCAGAAAGCCACGGCUAACUACGU
rnacentral:rRNA from 2 species